rnacentral:lncRNA from 1 species
AUCUCUGGCUUCCUAGGACGCCAAUAAAAACUCUCGACACCUAAGCAAUAAUUCCCAACAGUCUUUUCUUUUUGGCCGAAGAGCGCAGGGAAUAAGACCAGAUGCAAAGGCCUCCUGUCUAGGUGACCAUGUUUGCACGAGGGCUGCUAAGGAUACAGAGCGCGUCAUCCCUGAUGCACUGCACAGCACGUGUUGCUUGGCAAUAGGUGACUCCGCUGGCAUGGCUUCCUCACGGACACGAGGUUGAACUUUGAAAACUCCAAGCAAAACAUAAAUGACAGCUUUUAAAAAGUAUAAUUGAUAGUAAAAGCUAUAUGACUUCAUAAACUUGGACAUAUAAACGAACAUCUGUGUUAAAUCAUACAAAUCAAGGUAAGAGACACACCUAUCACCU